rnacentral:tRNA from 1 species
AUAUUUAUUCUUUUAUUAUAA